rnacentral:rRNA from 1 species
GAUGAACGCUAGCGGCAGGCCUAAUACAUGCAAGUCGAGGGAGAAUGUUGGAUUCGUCUGACAUGAAACCGGCGCACGGGUGCGUAACACGUAUGCAACCUACCUUUAACUGGGGUAUAGCUCAGAGAAAUCUGAAUUAAUCCCCCAUAAGACUACGACAUGGCAUCAUGAUGUAGUUAAAGCUCCGGCGGUUAAGGAUGGGCAUGCGGUACAUUAGCUAGUUGGUGAGGUAAUGGCUCACCAAGGCUACGAUGUAUAGGGGGGCUGAGAGGAUGAUACCCCACACUGGUACUGAGAAACGGAACAGACUCCUACGGGAAGCAGCAGGAGGGAAUAUUGGUCAAUGGACGCAAGUCUGAACCAGCCCUGCCGAGUGAAGGAUGAAGGCCCUAUGGGUCGUAAACUUCUUUUAUUAGGGAAGAAAGAACGGGAUGCGUCCUGUACUGACGGUACUUAAUGAAUAAGGAUCGGCUAACUUCGUGCCAGCCGCCGCAGUAA